AUGGACACUCCGUCGACCACGCCCUCUACCGGCAGCAAACGCAAAAGCGCAACUUGAAAUAUUUAUUGCACUUAACGAGCGACAGGGUCGAACUGAGGGUUAGAGGGAUGCAUGCAUGGGAAAGCAGAUUUCACUUUUUCGGUGGCCAACUAGAGGAAAAUGCGGGAAAAUGUGAAAUCCUAUGGCAAGGAAAAGCGAGCGUGGCAUGUCGAAUGUAACCAUCAACUGACUGCGAUUGUCUGCUCACGUGCUUAUCUGAAACUCGCUUUUCCAACCCCUGCACCCCUUCAUCCCAUUUCCCCCACAGCACUCCCUUCUCCGCUUUUCCAGGGGGCUUGGGGGCCUCUGUGGGUUAACGUCUAGUGCAUUGUUACGUGCCAAAGUUUUAGUGGCUAAAAUAACGGAGCAACGCCUGAAGAAGUGCCCUACACUCAUUCUAUUUUUGCGGUCGAUUAAACAGUUCGAUCUGCGAAUGUUUUAUCUAACUUGGCAUAUGUUUGACAAGCUAUCUGUAUCUGCUUCCAAAGCUCUUAACUUGGCUUCAAGCGUUUCACAAAGUUCCAGUGAAGUAGAAUUCGUAAUGCCUUGGACGAAGAAUAUUCAGGGCAUAUUAAACUAAAACUUUGUAAUAUUUCGAGAAUGGCAUGUACCUUUGAUAUAUGUUAUAUGUUUUUAGUGUGCGAGUUUGACAGCAUAAAGUACAGCAUAAUACGCAGAAAACUAAAGGUGAAGUUUUGGCAUUGAAAAGUUUUUAAGCUACUAUCGGGUGUUAUGCACAAUAAUCUUAAAUAACUAAGCUUAAGGCAGUAUCUAAACAUUUCUGUCAUUUUAGUUUCGUGUUAUUCGGUACUUUGAAAAGUCUGCUUUUUUAGAGCUGUCUACUCUUAUUACAAAAUUAGUUUAAAAAUGUUUAUUUCUUGUUUUUUUUCGCACUGAAGACUCCGCAUUGUCUACUGAGACAAGGACUUCUAUACUUUCCUCUUACCAAAUCACCUUUGCCACAGCACAAACAUUUCCCAACCAUUGCGCAAAAAAUAGAUGCGGUGUACACUCGAAAAAGUUUUAAUAAAAACAGAAAAUAAAGGUAAAGAAGAGGGGAAUAAUGUGUUUUUUCAAGAAUAUUAAUACGUACUGAAAACAAAAAAAGAAAUUCUUUUUGUCCAUGUGAGGAAACAGAACUUUUGCAAAGAGAGAAAGGAGAAAAGCUGGCCCACUGCAUUGCAAUCCAUUGUUCUUUCGGCAGCUACCACAAAAGUAUGCAACGCUGUUUGUAAUGUUUAGUUUUAGUAGGACACCAACACCAACACCAGCAUCAAUAGCAAAAGAAACAGAAACUUUGUUUAGUUCGCUUCCCCAGUAAUAAUAGGAUAUACUCGUAUACGCGGUACUCACAU